UACAGAGGUCUCAAGCGUUGUUCGGAUUCAUUGGGCGUAAAGGGUGCGUAGGCGGCAGCGCAAGUCAGGUGUGAAAUCCCGGGGCUCAACCCCGGAACUGCACUUGAUACUGCGUUGCUUGAGUACUGGAGAGGAGACUGGAAUUCCACGUGUAGCGGUGAAAUGCGUAGAGAUGUGGAGGAACACCAGUGGCGAAGGCGACUUUCUGGCUUAGAACUGACGCUGAGGCGCGAAAGCGUGGGGAGCAAACAGG
rnacentral:rRNA from 1 species